GGGUUGUGAGGUUAAGCGACUAAGCGUACACGGUGGAUGCCCUGGCAGUCAGAGGCGAUGAAGGACGUGCUAAUCUGCGAUAAGCGUCGGUAAGGUGAUAUGAACCGUUAUAACCGGCGAUUUCCGAAUGGGGAAACCCAGUGUGUUUCGACACACUAUCAUUAACUGAAUCCAUAGGUUAAUGAGGCGAACCGGGGGAACUGAAACAUCUAAGUACCCCGAGGAAAAGAAAUCAACCGAGAUUCCCCCAGUAGCGGCGAGCGAACGGGGAGGAGCCCAGAGCCUGAAUCAGUGUGUGUGUUAGUGGAAGCGUCUGGAAAGGCGCGCGAUACAGGGUGACAGCCCCGUACACAAAAAUGCACAUACUGUGAGCUCGAUGAGUAGGGCGGGACACGUGGUAUCCUGUCUGAAUAUGGGGGGACCAUCCUCCAAGGCUAAAUACUCCUGACUGACCGAUAGUGAACCAGUACCGUGAGGGAAAGGCGAAAAGAACCCCGGCGAGGGGAGUGAAAAAGAACCUGAAACCGUGUACGUACAAGCAGUGGGAGCCUCUUAAUGGGGUGACUGCGUACCUUUUGUAUAAUGGGUCAGCGACUUAUAUUCUGUAGCAAGGUUAACCGAAUAGGGGAGCCGAAGGGAAACCGAGUCUUAACUGGGCGUUAAGUUGCAGGGUAUAGACCCGAAACCCGGUGAUCUAGCCAUGGGCAGGUUGAAGGUUGGGUAACACUAACUGGAGGACCGAACCGACUAAUGUUGAAAAAUUAGCGGAUGACUUGUGGCUGGGGGUGAAAGGCCAAUCAAACCGGGAGAUAGCUGGUUCUCCCCGAAAGCUAUUUAGGUAGCGCCUCGUGAAUUCAUCUCCGGGGGUAGAGCACUGUUUCGGCAAGGGGGUCAUCCCGACUUACCAACCCGAUGCAAACUGCGAAUACCGGAGAAUGUUAUCACGGGAGACACACGGCGGGUGCUAACGUCCGUCGUGAAGAGGGAAACAACCCAGACCGCCAGCUAAGGUCCCAAAGUCAUGGUUAAGUGGGAAACGAUGUGGGAAGGCCCAGACAGCCAGGAUGUUGGCUUAGAAGCAGCCAUCAUUUAAAGAAAGCGUAAUAGCUCACUGGUCGAGUCGGCCUGCGCGGAAGAUGUAACGGGGCUAAACCAUGCACCGAAGCUGCGGCAGCGACGUUUAUGCGUUGUUGGGUAGGGGAGCGUUCUGUAAGCCUGUGAAGGUGUACUGUGAGGUAUGCUGGAGGUAUCAGAAGUGCGAAUGCUGACAUAAGUAACGAUAAAGCGGGUGAAAAGCCCGCUCGCCGGAAGACCAAGGGUUCCUGUCCAACGUUAAUCGGGGCAGGGUGAGUCGACCCCUAAGGCGAGGCCGAAAGGCGUAGUCGAUGGGAAACAGGUUAAUAUUCCUGUACUUGGUGUUACUGCGAAGGGGGGACGGAGAAGGCUAUGUUGGCCGGGCGACGGUUGUCCCGGUUUAAGCGUGUAGGCUGGUUUUCCAGGCAAAUCCGGAAAAUCAAGGCUGAGGCGUGAUGACGAGGCACUACGGUGCUGAAGCAACAAAUGCCCUGCUUCCAGGAAAAGCCUCUAAGCAUCAGGUAACAUCAAAUCGUACCCCAAACCGACACAGGUGGUCAGGUC
rnacentral:rRNA from 1 species